AGGACUGAACUGACUUCAUUCCAGUUUCUAACUUUCAUUUCAUUUCUCAGUCUCUCUCUCUUUCUCAGCUCAGUCUUACUUAAAUCCAACUCCGACCAACCAUUCACCGGCCUACCACCACACGCGGAUCAUCCACCGUUGUCUCUCCCUUCCUUCACGAUGCAGAGUCACCGCCACCACCGGUCUGAGGUCACUCUCUCACGAUUCUCUCUAUCGCAACUCUCUCUCGCGAUUCUCUCUCUUAGGAGUCUUUGACUCUCUCACACGAUUCUAUCUCUCAGAUUCAGACAUAGGUAAAUAAAUAUGGGAAUUAAUUUAGGGUUUGAAAUUUAAUUUAGGGUUUGUGUAAUUUAAUUUACGAAUUCUAGAUUAGGGUUUGUAAUUUUAUUGUUUUUGAAAUUUAAUUUUCGAAUUCUAGAUUAGGGUUUGUAAAUUUAGGGUUUGUUUGGUUUCACAGAUCAAAUUCUAUUUAAUUGAUCUAAUGGUUCAGGUUCUUGGGUUUUUGCAGAUUGGUGAAGGUCCGAAGGAACUGGGCUCUUUUGCUUUGCUACUGUGCUGGAGUUUUAUUUGCCAACAACAACAGGUAAAUUUCUCAGAUGAGUUUUAUUUAAUUUUAUGCUCUCUUGAAUUGUAUGCUUCUUUGAUAUAAUUGUUGCUUUAAGGAAUCUAAGCUUUUGGAGCUUUGGUAUAUUUACAUUAGUCAUUGGUUGACCUUUUGUAAUAGGUUGUGGCUUAAUUUAAUACUCUCUCAAUGCAAACUGUUUAAUACUCUCUCGAUUCUGAUUUAAUAUGUUGUGGUUUAAUACUCUAUCAGAUUCCGAUUUAAUUCUCUCUCAGAUUCUGGUUUAAUAGCAUAUGUGGAGGUUAUUCUCUUCUAGUAGGAAGCCAUUAUUAAUAAAAUGGAUGUCACAUUAGCGACCCAUAUUUACCAAUAUUGAUCAAAGCUUAAGCAAGAUCAAAACUUUUGUCUUUUUAUGAGAAUUACUUGGGGUACUAGGCAGACAACAUUACUGAUGGUAUUUCAAAUGUUGUUUUGUUGGUGUGUUAUUGUUAAUAGAGAAGGUGUACAAACCAAUGCCACAAGGACAUCAAGGACAAGGUAAUUCUGUUUGCCUCAACCGAGUAGGAUUUAUCUCCUUUCUAGCCUUGUCUAGCUUCUCCAUAUUUACCGUUAUGAAUGACUGUAAACAUCCUAUAUGGAUUAAAUUCGAGAUGUAAAGUACAUGUACUGUCGAUUUGCUAUGUCAACUUGGCCCAUCACAAUUUCUUGUUUGUGUGGUGAGCAUGCUCGACAAGAUUCUUCAAACUUGAAGGGAAAAAUGCAUAGUUGAACAAACUCUGUCUCCGUCUUCUUUGUAGCGUUUCUUUUACUUUCUGUUGUAUAUAUUCUCGUUUAAGCUUACCAUCAAGAACUUGAAGGGUAAAAUGCAUAGUUUAUCGCCCCUUUUGAAUUUAGUUGAGAUGAUUGGUUGAAUGUAUUUUUAAGCGGGAACAGAUCAAAGUUUAAGCAAGCUAUUUCUAGAUGAGCCACAUAUAGGCAGAUUUGUGCACAGAUUAGGCAUAUUGCUUUUGAAUAGGCAAAUUGGGCAUGCCUAUAUGUCAAAUUUUCAAUAUAAAAUGUUGAAUUUUAGCCCAAAAACAUAAUAUGUCAAUUUUUGGUCCAAAAGCCCAAAAGCCCAAAACCAUUUCAGGAUUCCCGAUUUGUCCCGAAAUCCUGAAACUGUUUCGGGAUUCCCAAAAAUUGGGAUUCCCAAAAAUUUGGUUUGGGAUUGGUAUUGAAAUUGGGAUUCCCAAAAAUUUCAGUUUGGGAAUCAGGACAAGGGUUUCGGUAUGGGAUCCCAUACCGAACCACCCUUAAAAAUUAUUGUUUCACUAAUGGAGGUUCAAUGCAGAGUCACUCCUUCAUGAUGCAUAACGAUUCGUCUUUUGCCAAUCUUAAUUUUCUUCUUUUCUUUUCAAUUAAUAUUAAAAAUGAGUGGGGAAUGUUGAUGCAUUUUGAAUAUUAAAUACAUUAAUUAUUUGGUGUUAGGGAGAAAUUCAUAUGGUUGUCAUUAUCUUUUAUUAGUGGGAAAUUAAGAUGGAAUCUUUUAACCUUCUUCUUAUGUAACGGUUGCAACUCUUUUCUUGUUAAUUUUAGUGUAUUACCCUAUUCAAUUAUGGUGAUAAGAGACCUAUAAUCAAUAGUAUUUUCUCCAGCAUUCUUUUAUUCAUUAUUCACUACCUAAUCUCUUCUACAACUAUUAUUAUCUCCAUUUCCUCUAUUUUUUUUCUUUCUAUUUUUACUUAUUGGCCAAACAAGGGUGUUCGUGUGGUGGAGCUUUGGUCUCUUCCUUUUCUGUAGAUAGGUUUAAGUCACACAAUGAUUCAAUUGGGUUGUUGUAUCAUGGAGGGAAUAAGUCAAAAGAUAUACUCGCACCUCAGCCUAAUUUGUCAUUGUAAACAAAAAAAAAAAUCCCUUGACAAAUGAAAUAUUUUUGUCAAUCAAAAUACGGUUUCGUCGCCUAAACUUUUAACCAAUGAAACUUUAUUGAGCAAAGUAGGUCACUCAAAGGUUUACCUGACGAAACUUAGCCACCAUCAGGCAAUUGUAUUUUGCCCGACAGAGUUUUCGACGACUAUUUGUUGCGCAAAACAGCUUAAACAAACUACGCUCGAUGAACUACACAUGUCUAGACUUGGCAUUCGUGUCGUGUUUUAUGUGUUCGUGUCGUUUUCGUAUCAUACCCGAUAUCUUAACGGGUCGUGUCGUGUAACACCUGUUAAAAUAAAUGGGUAAAAUGACCCGACCCGAAAUCGACCCCGAUAAUAUUAACAGGUAAUAUGACCCGACCUGUUACUCGUUAAGGAAAAUAUAUUUUAAACCAAUAAAUAAUCAAAUGAAAAACAUAAUUCUAAAUAAGUAUAUACAUAUCAUAUUGUCACAUCCAAAACAUAAAAAUGCAAUUUUCUUUUAAGUACAUUUUCACUUACCUAAAGUCUUUAAUAGUUUUUUAAUUAAUGUAGAAGUGUAAAAAAAUAUAGAAAUAUAUAUAUAAAUGCUCGUAAUGAUAAGCUUUACAACUUUCAUGAAGAGCUUAACUUCGAAAUUCACCACUAUAAUCAUAUAAAUCAUAGAUCAAAAUUUAACCGUUGAUUGUUGUUUACAUUUAUGUUUCAUUGUUCUCAUCAUAUUUUAUUUUUUCAUAUUUUAUUUUUUGAAAACUUGAUAUAUUAGAGGUUGCAGGAAGAUGAACGAUUAGGUUCGUUGAUAUUAUAUUCAGAGUUUUAAGGCUAGUGAAAAUAUUGUUUGAUGUUUAUAAAGUUUCUACAAACUAUAUGACAUCGAUUAAUAUUUCAGUUAAUCGUAAAUAUUGAAACGUGAUAUCAAAGAUCUGACUCAUACAUCUUCUUACAUCCACCAGAUGAUCAUGUUUUCAAAAAAGAAAAUUUAAAAAAUGAAAUUCAGUAAGAAGAAUAAAGCGUAAAUGACAAUCAAUGGUCAAAUAUACAUUUAAGGUUUAUGAAUUAUAGUGUUGGAUUUCGAAGUUGACCCCUUCAUGAAAGUUGUAAAGUUUGUCACUAUGAGUGAUUGUAUAUUUUUUUUACAUUUUGUACACUUCUACAAUAAUUAUUAUUAAUUUUAUUAAUUUUUCCCUCAAAUAAAAAACAUUAUUCAUGAAGGUUUGGAGGAUUUUAAAAAUCUAAACGAUAAUGUAAGUGUAACCAUUAUCUACUCGUAGAGGAAAAAUGAUGAAUCACGAGUGUUUAUAUAUUCUUUCACAAUUUUCAUACUUGUAUGUAUGUCUUUUUAAUUCUUACCUAUAUAAAUACUAUAUUAGUUUAUUUUAUUUUUGGACAACAACAUGUUAAGUAAAAUUUAUCCUAGUAAUGAUAAUAAGGAACUCUCAUAAUAAAAAUAAAUAAUGACUAAAACGUUUUUUUAAAACUUAUAUAGAAUAAUAAUACAAAACUAUAUAUUAAAUAUAGAAUAUAUUGUAUUUAUUAAUAUGGCUAUUGGAUUUUAUAAUAA
rnacentral:lncRNA from 1 species